rnacentral:lncRNA from 1 species
UAUUAGUUGGUGAGUCGGUGUCUUGCAAUUUUCCUUUUUAUAUUCUUGUCGUACAACCCUCAAUUUACCGUCAAUCGCCAUUAUCGUCGUGACUCUGACUUCCUACCUUCUAGAUCCCCACAAAUCCAAUAUCAGAACUCCAACUGACCCAUUCAUUCAUCAUUUCCUUAAAUCACUGAAUUCCAAAGCUGAAACCUUCGGUCUUGCCAUAAGGUGAACCCACAAAAUUCCAGACCAAUAGCACAAAAGUCCACUUUCCCUCUUACUCCCUAUAAAUUAUUUCCUAUUUCACACUCCCAAUUGCAGAUCCUCUCGUUUCUCCCAUGUUAGAUGCCUCCCAUUUUGUCCCACUUUUGUCAUGUGACCUGUUCUACCAGUGUCAUGUGUUAACUUUGCGAACUUCGUGAA